rnacentral:miRNA from 1 species
UCAGCUGUACAAUUGGCAUUGUGU